rnacentral:rRNA from 1 species
GCCUGGUAGUGGGGGACAACGUUUCGAAAGGAACGCUAAUACCGCAUACGUCCUACGGGAGAAAGCAGGGGACCUUCGGGCCUUGCGCUAUCAGAUGAGCCUAGGUCGGAUUAGCUAGUUGGUGAGGUAAUGGCUCACCAAGGCGACGAUCCGUAACUGGUCUGAGAGGAUGAUCAGUCACACUGGAACUGAGACACGGUCCAGACUCCUACGGGAGGCAGCAGUGGGGAAUAUUGGACAAUGGGCGAAAGCCUGAUCCAGCCAUGCCGCGUGUGUGAAGAAGGUCUUCGGAUUGUAAAGCACUUUAAGUUGGGAGGAAGGGCAGUAAAUUAAUACUUUGCUGUUUUGACGUUACCGACAGAAUAAGCACCGGCUAACUCUGUGCCAGCAGCCGCGGUAAUACAGAGGGUGCAAGCGUUAAUCGGAAUUACUGGGCGUAAAGCGCGCGUAGGUGGUUCGUUAAGUUGGAUGUGAAAUCCCCGGGCUCAACCUGGGAACUGCAUCCAAAACUGGCGAGCUAGAGUAUGGUAGAGGGUGGUGGAAUUUCCUGUGUAGCGGUGAAAUGCGUAGAUAUAGGAAGGAACACCAGUGGCGAAGGCGACCACCUGGACUGAUACUGACACUGAGGUG